rnacentral:rRNA from 1 species
UACAGGGGGGGCAAGCGUUGUUCGGAAUUACUGGGCGUAAAGGGUCUGUAGGUGGCCAACUAAGUCAGACGUGAAAUCCCUCAGCUUAACUGGGGAACUGCGUCUGAUACUGGAUGGCUUGAGUGUGGGAGAGGAAUGCGGAAUUCCUGGUGUAGCGGUGAAAUGCGCAGAUAUCAGGAGGAACACCAAUGGCGAAGGCAGCUCGCUGGGACGUGACUGACGCUGAGACGCGAAAGCGUGGGGAGCAAACAGG